UACGGGAGGCAGCAGUGGGGAAUAUUGCACAAUGGGCGAAAGCCUGAUGCAGCUAUGCCGCGUGUAUGAAGAAGGCCUUAGGGUUGUAAAGUACUUUCAUCGGGGAGGAAAAAACAAAACUAAUAAUUUUAUUUCUUGACGUUACCCGAAAAAGAAGCACCGGCUAACUCCGUGCCAGCAGCCGCGGUAAUACGGAGGGUGCUAGCGUUAAUCAGAAUUACUGGGCGUAAAGAGCACGUAGGUGGUUUUUUUAAGUCAGAUGUGAAAUCCCUGGGCUUAAACCUGGAACUGCAUUUUGAAACUGAAAUACUAGAGUAUCGUAGAGGGAGGUAGAAUUCUAGGUGUAGCGGUGAAAUGCGUAGAUAUCUGGAGGAAUACCUGUGGCGAAAGCGGCCUCCUAAACGAAUACUGACACUGAGGUGCGAAAGCGUGGGGAGCAAACAGGGAUUAGAUACC
rnacentral:rRNA from 1 species